rnacentral:ncRNA from 2 species
CCGUAGACUGCCAGCGCCGGCCUUUUAACGAGUUAAAAGGGAAUCCAGUGUGAAUCUGGAGCUGACGCGCAGCGGUAAGGAAUGUCAUGACAAUCGCGUAUGCAGACACUGUCCGCCUGGAUGGGAAGUCUUUGUCAUUAUAACGAUUCCAAGUCCGAAGACCUGCCGGCGUAACGUCGCAUUU